UUUUGAACAGGCCAUAAAAAAAUCCAAUUUAAAUGUUUUGAUAAAUGCAAAUGAUUCUGAUCCAGAUGAUCCAGAAUCUUUUAAUAUUUCACAAAAUUAUACUGAUGAUCCAAAUAAUAUUUCAAAUAAAUUAAACUAUGAUUUGAAGCAUUCAGAUACUCAGGUUAACAUUGUUAAGGAUUUAGGAGAUUUGAACACAGGCCCUGCACAACCAAUUUUACCAGCAUAUCCUAUGACAGUUUUUGGUAAUCAAAAAAGAUCGUUUAAUGCCAAAUACUAUAAUGAGUUCUAGUGGAUUGAAUAUAGUGUAGAAAAAGAUGCAGUUUUUUGCUUUUGCUGUAGAAUAUUUGGAUGCAGUUCUACUGAUAAUGUUUUUACCAAAAGUGGUUUUACAAAUUGGAAAAGAUUGGGGACAAAAUUUUCAAAACACUCCAAGUUCAAUGCACAUGCAGCAACGCAAACACAUUUAAUUAACUUAACUAAAAUGGAUGGACAUAAUUCUAGUAAAAAAACUGGUAACAUUUUGUGUCAAGUAUCUAAUGCUCACAAAGAUUUCGUCCUAAAGAACAGAUCUUACUUAAAAACGCUUAUAGAUAUUUUGUUAUAUUUGGCACGGCAAGGUAUUGCAUUCCGAGGAAAUAUUGAAAAUGAGGAUUCCCUAAA